rnacentral:lncRNA from 1 species
GAGUAAACCUUUUGUGUCGUGCGCGUGCUUUCUCAACCAUAAAAUCAACCUCGCCUUCGAUGCUGGCGAAUAUCCGUUUAAAACUCGGCGACCUAUUCAAUGACGAUGCACGUAGGAUACAUUCCUUGAAAAGAGCUUACAAAGCAAUGGCGUAUUUAUGAGGCAACACAGGUUGAAUUUAUUACCGUACAGAGAGAGUGUUCAACUGGACAACGUUAGAAAUAUUUCCGUUGUUUCUUGUUUUAUAAUAAGAAAUCUUUAGUAGAUGUUACUUAUAUUAAUUAAUCAAGUGCCAAUUAAAAAGAAUUGAAAAUUUAUUUCACAAUUACAGCGAUAUAUUAAUAAAAAACAUUUAUUUAAAAUAUGAUUUUUAUCUGGUGGCAGAUGAAACGGCAUAUGUGAAGCUCUUUUCGAUAAGGUAUUAACGGUUCGUAGAUGCAAUUAACCACUGAUUUUUCCACAACGAACUAAAAUUAGAAAUUCAAAUUGAUCUUUUUUCUUCUUGCUGCCAACCGAGCUGCUGCAACUAUAUUACAAUCAAGCCAGGUAGAAUUACUGGUCAAUUUUCUCCGGAAUGGAAUGAUUUCGCAAUCGUUGCGGAAGGUGAUGGCAGUCUAGGGUCGACGACCACGAUAUUCAUGUGAGACGAUCGUUAGACGUUGCAUAGGAGCAUUUGUGUCGAAAAAUGAAUCAAAUUUAUCAUAUAAUUGAAAUAAAUUAACUCUAGAUUAAUCUUUCUAUGUUCAAUAUUGUGAAUAUAGACUAUGAUACUUUAUUCUAUGUUACAUCUUCUUUAUGAAGACAUAAAGAUAUAUUUUUAUCAUUAUAUGAUAAUGAAUGAAAAAGAAUUUUUGGAAAUUAUUUAGAAAGAGAAAUCCAAUAUUGAUUUUAAAAAUAUAUUGCAAAGA